rnacentral:snRNA from 1 species
AGCUUUGCGCAGUGGCAGUAUCGUAGCCAAUGAGGUUUAUCCGAGGCGCGAUUAUUGCUAAUUAAAAAUUAGAACUGAUGGU